rnacentral:rRNA from 1 species
GACGAACGCUGGCGGCGUGCUUAACACAUGCAAGUCGAACGAUGAAGCCCAGCUUGCUGGGUGGAUUAGUGGCGAACGGGUGAGUAACACGUGGGCAACCUGCCCCUAACUUUGGGAUAACUACUCGAAAGAGUAGCUAAUACCGGAUACGAAGUCUGUAGGCAUCUACGGAUUUGGAAAGUUUUUCGGUUAGGGAUGGGCCCGCGGCCUAUCAGCUUGUUGGUGAGGUAGUGGCUCACCAAGGCGACGACGGGUAGCCGGCCUGUGAGGGUGACCGGCCACACUGGGACUGGGACACGGCCCAGACUCCUACGGGAGGCAGCAGUGGGGAAUAUUGCACAAUGGGCGCAAGCCUGAUGCAGCAACGCCGCGUGAGGGAUGACGGCCUUCGGGUUGUAAACCUCUUUUAGUAGGGAAGAAGCGAAAGUGACGGUACCUGCAGAAAAAGCACCGGCUAACUACAUGCCAGCAGCCGCAGUAA